GAUGAACGCUGGCGGCGUGCCUAAUACAUGCAAGUCGAGCGAACAGAUAAGGAGCUUGCUCCUUUGACGUUAGCGGCGGACGGGUGAGUAACACGUGGGUAACCUACCUAUAAGACUGGGAUAACUUCGGGAAACCGGAGCUAAUACCGGAUAACAUUUGGAACCGCAUGGUUCUAAAGUGAAAGAUGGUUUUGCUAUCACUUAUAGAUGGACCCGCGCCGUAUUAGCUAGUUGGUAAGGUAACGGCUUACCAAGGCGACGAUACGUAGCCGACCUGAGAGGUUGAUCGGCCACACUGGAACUGAGACACGGUCCAGACUCCUACGGGAGGCAGCAGUAGGGAAUCUUCCGCAAUGGGCGAAAGCCUGACGGAGCAACGCCGCGUGAGUGAUGAAGGGUUUCGGCUCGUAAAACUCUGUUAUUAGGGAAGAACAAAUGUGUAAGUAACUGUGCACGUCUUGACGGUACCUAAUCAGAAAGCCACGGCUAACUACGUG
rnacentral:rRNA from 1 species